rnacentral:rRNA from 1 species
GACGAACGCUGGCGGCGUGCCUAACACAUGCAAGUCGAGCGGGGAGGAGGAAGCUUGCUUCCGAAUCCUAGCGGCGGACGGGUGAGUAACGCGUGAGCAACCUGCCUCAAACAGGGGGAUAACGCAUCGAAAGAUGUGCUAAUACCGCGUAAGACCACGGCACCGCAUGGUGCAGAGGUCAAAGGAGCAAUCCGGUUUGAGAUGGUCUCGCGUCUGAUUAGCUAGAUGGCGGGGUAACGGCCCACCAUGGCGACGAUCAGUAGCCGGUCUGAGAGGAUGAACGGCCACAUUGGGACUGAGAUACGGCCCAGACUCCUACGGGAGGCAGCAGUGGGGAAUAUUGGGCAAUGGGGGAAACCCUGACCCAGCAACGCCGCGUGAAGGAAGAAGGCCUUCGGGUUGUAAACUUCUUUUAGCAGGGACGAAGAACGUGACGGUACCUGCAGAAAAAGCAACGGCUAACUACGUG